AAGAGGACGGGACAGGUACACCGGAUCACCAGCCGGGAGGUGAAGACAGGACACAGCAACAUAAGGUGGAUGAACCUGAAUUAGAUCUCAUCAGUGCAGUUUUGUCUGUCAGCUGUGCUGAAAACACCCCAAAUCCACCUCCAGCGUCUCUGCCUUCUGACUGUCCCGCAACCUGCAUCACAUCUGAAUGCCACCCGGCAGACAGACCGUCCAGCCCAACU